rnacentral:rRNA from 1 species
UACGUAGGGUGCAAGCGUUGUCCGGAAUUAUUGGGCGUAAAGAGCUCGUAGGCGGUCUGUCGCGUCGGCUGUGAAAACUCGGGGCUCAACCCCGAGCCUGCAGUCGAUACGGGCAGACUAGAGUGCUGUAGGGGAGACUGGAAUUCCUGGUGUAGCGGUGAAAUGCGCAGAUAUCAGGAGGAACACCGGUGGCGAAGGCGGGUCUCUGGGCAGUAACUGACGCUGAGGAGCGAAAGCGUGGGGAGCAAACAGGAUUAGAUACCCCAGUAGUCC